AGACAGCAGUAGCCGCGGUAAUACGUAGGUGGCAAGCGUUGUCCGGAAUUAUUGGGCGUAAAGGGCUCGCAGGCGGUUUCUUAAGUCUGAUGUGAAAGCCCCCGGCUCAACCGGGGAGGGUCAUUGGAAACUGGGAAACUUGAGUGCAGAAGAGGAGAGUGGAAUUCCACGUGUAGCGGUGAAAUGCGUAGAGAUGUGGAGGAACACCAGUGGCGAAGGCGACUCUCUGGUCUGUAACUGACGCUGAGGAGCGAAAGCGUGGGGAGCGAACAGGAUUAGAUACCCCUGUAGUCCCUGUCUCUUAUAC
rnacentral:rRNA from 1 species